GUUGCCAUUAGCAGAAAUUGCUUAAGGGGUUGAACCACGUGUGUGAGCGCAGCCAGCUGUACUGUGAGCAGGUAUAUAAGGAAGCCAGAACUCUCCAUCCUCCUGGUACUCCUCAGCUGACUCCUAAGGAUUUCUCAACAUGGACUUCAACAGAGUGCUAUGCUGCCUUGGCCUUAUGCUGGCAGCCUGUGCCGCCCAGGAGCCUAUACCCUGCACUGUUCCCCCUCUUAUGAGUGGAGGCUUCACUGUGAUGACCACCAGCAUCAUGUCCACAGGAAAAAUAACCUAUGAUGCUUAUGGUCAGAGGAUGCGGGUUAGGACCUUCAGUUUUUCUGGAAAUGUUACGGACCAGCUGAUGUUUU